UUGACCUCAAAUCAGGUAGGACUACCCGCUGAACUUAAGCAUAUCAAUAAGCGGAGGAAAAGAAACUAACAAGGAUUCCCCUAGUAACUGCGAGUGAACCGGGAAAAGCUCAAAUUUUGAAUCUGGCGGUCUUUCGGCCGUCCGAGUUGUAAUCUAGAGAAGCGCCUUCCGC
rnacentral:rRNA from 1 species